CCUAAGGCCGGUCCCAAUCGUUUCCUGUACCCUGGGGUUAUCUCUCGAUUCAAAAUUCCAGUCUCUGAUAGUGUGGUGCCCAAGGUUCAGUCUGGGACCGGGACCAGAGACACUGGCUUGUGGCUCUGGGCUGGGGCUGGGGCUGGCGGCCGGCAGCCAAGCGUCUGGCGGAACCGGGGUCUCUUCCGCGGUUUAGCCGGGUGAGUUAAAAGCUGAUUGAAUCCCCCACCGUGGGGGGAGGGGCAAGAUGGCGGCGCCGGGAGGACUCUCAUUCUGAGCAGCAGCACAACAGGAUCAGCACAGUGAACAGCAAUCAGAACUCUCGGCCAUAAAACACAGUCAUUGUGUUUCCCAGGUACUGGCUCUGCAUUAGAUCAGCAUGGCCCAUGGGUCCUAUGUGAGUCUAAGUGGAUGCAUGACGCAGAUUCAGCGGCCUGAGAGUUCACUACCAGUGUGGUGAAGGAAUGGCGUCAGGCAGACAUGACAACUGGAACACUGGCUGGGUGCACACAUCUCCAACCACAAACAGAAAGCAAAGCAUGACCUGGGCAUGGAAAGAGGCUUUUCAACCUUAAAGCCAACCCCAUCUCUUCAGCCUCCCCUAACAGUGUCACCAAUCAGGCCCCAAGUUUUCAAAUAACUGAAAAUAUGGGGACAUCCCAUUCAAACCACCAGAGUCACUGUUCGUCUAUUUUAGCCUUUGGCUUUCUUAGUCACAAUCAAUGAACAGUCCUAAUCACCCUGGAACCCAGUAGAAGUCAUGUAUGCCAAUGUUCAUUGAGUAAGGACUGCCAGCUUUGGUCCUCUUGUUUAUUAGGAAGCAAACCUGGGCCUCUCCGUUGAGGUCUUGGGGCAGGUGAGCUCACAUAGAGACCUGCUAAGUGACUUGAUAGAGCUUUCUCCAAGUUCUCGGUGCAAUUCACUCACACAACUGACAAUAGCCCUAUCAUCAGAGGAUGUAACUGUAAAGUCUGAACUAACACACUGUCCCAGGCUCAGAAACAAAGGUUUUGAAGGAGAUCUUUUCUCUCCAAGGGUCCGUGCCUGCCUCAAUCUGCCUAGUGCUAACAGAAAACAAAAUAAGCAAAGAGCCUACUAACAAACCUCUCCUUCUGGAAUGAAGAAAAUCAAAAAGCUGAAAAAAAUCCUGACCCUUAGAUCUGCUCUCAACAAAUGUAAAAGGAAGUCCUUUCAUUUGAAAUGAAAGAAAUGACAAUGUGGAAUACACAAGAGUUUGUAACUUAGUUGUAAAAGCAGACACAUAGUCAAAUUCGGCAUAUUCUGACACCGUUACACAUCAAUCACUUUAAAAGAAAGGUUAAAGAAAGUGUUAAAAAUAGUUAAAAUAACUGCAAUUAAAAACACAGUGUUCUUUCCUAAAUUCAGUAUUUGUAUCACACUGCUUUACCCCAACGCCCCGCAAAAAAAAAAAUCACAGAAGAACAGACAAAAAGAUUUUCAAACCAGAAGCUGGGGAAGAUUGAUUUAGGACUAGGUCUUCCAGACAUGGCAGGGUACUUGUACUAGUGAAAUUAUAGUAGCUGUGGUUACCUACAUGAAACCAAGCCAGGUAAAAUUCCAGCAUAGAUGGAGAAAGGAGUCACAAAACCUCACUACUAGUUGAGGAAGUAUUGCCAUUGGAUGAUGACUGAUGUGGGAGGAAGAGUUGAGUUAUUUUAGAGUGUAGCUUAUGGUAAGUCGCCCAUGCUUCAACAGCUGUCCCUGUUCCCAUGCACAUAAAAGCAUCAGUAAUUGGAUUCAGGGGUUAUUAAGAAAUCAAAAUUAAAAAUAAAGAGGAUAUGGUUAGUGGGUCUGAGAGGAGUUUGUGGAAGGAUUAGGGUAUGGACACAAUCAAAACACACUAUAUAUAUAUAUAUAUAUAUGAAAUUCUCCAAGAAUAAGUACAAAAUAUAUUUUAAGUGUAGACUAUGAUAUUAUUAUUACAAAAUGGUCUUGGUGCAAAGAGUAAGUAAAAUAAGAGAAAAUUUAUAUGUGAUUUAAUUUGUUAACUUGGAAUAGCUAUUGAUGUUAAAUUUUGUUAUGUUAUAGACUCGAAAUGAUACCCCCUGCCUUUCUGCAGUUUUGUUCUCUGAAUAUUUAUUACAUUAACUAUAAUCAGGCACAGCCUGAAAAUAUGAAAUGGAAAGCUCUCAAAAUAAACAAUUUAUGCUUUAAAUGACAUGUCAUUCACAGGAGUGUGGUGAAAUUGUUCGGGAUAUAUGAAAUGAAAAAUUCUAGACAUAAAUAAGUUUUGAGUUUCACAUUACAUGCCAUUCAUAGUAGCGUGAUGAAAUUGCUCACCAUCCUGCUCUGCUCCACCCAGGAUGUGAAUCAUCCUGAAGUCCAGCACUCCCUCACCUUAUUCUCAAUCUGCCAGUAAAUCAUUUAGCACCUGUCUGGGUUAUCAGACUAGCUGUCAUCAUAUCGCAGUGCUUGUACUCAGGUAACCUUUAUUUGGUUUGAUAAUGGCCUCAAAGGGAAAGUGUACCGAUGGUGGCAUUUUAGUAUAAUAAAUUGUUACAGUUGCUCUA